UUUUUUCAGAGGUCAACAAGAGUUUGUGUGCGCAAGUAUUUUAAAUCGCGACUAUUAACAGCUGAUAUUAAGAGCUCCACUUCUAGGUUCGGCUGAUCAAACCUCAGGUGUUUUUGUUAAAGUUAUUAAUAAAGUCAGGUGAGAAGCUGCUGAGGGCUGCGAACACGAAGCCCAUAGACAUGGAGAGGACCAGAGUGAGGCGUCUGCCCUUCGUGUCUGACACGUAGCCCCACAGCUGAGCGCCAAGAACAACACCUGUAGCCACGACAAUAUGGCGAUAAGUUUUCAAAAUUGGACUAUUCGAUAUACCUAUCAACGGUGUUGCAGUCAGAAAAGCUCUUUCUUGCAAAUUCAGCUCCAAGUCACACACUGCAGCGGCUACUACGAAGCUGGUGCCGAAUAAGUCCAUACCCAUGGCUUGGAGAGUCCAGCUGCAUACUAACAGCAGCCCGAAGUUGUAUUUGCCGAAACCUGGGAACAGAGAGGGAUAGAACAGAAUCAUCAUCAUUAUAAUCUGCCGGAAGACGUCCACUGUUGGAUAAAGGCCUCCCCCAAAGAUCUCCACGACGAUCGCUUCUGCGCUGCCCUCAUUCAACGUAUUCCGGCCUUGACCACAUCGUCGGUCCAACUUGUGGCGCCAGCCAGCACUGCGUCUUCCACUACGUGGUCACCAUUUGUAGACUUUACUGCCCCACAGUCAAUUUGUCUGUCGAACUAUACGCCCUGCCCACUGCCACUUCAGUUCAUAUAUUCAUGUAUCUUCCAUAAUUGGUAAUAAUUAGUAAUAAUAUUUUAAAAGAUGUACUAACACCUUCUAUAACAAAAAAAAUGUUGUGAUCCUGUUACAUGAUUGUUCAUCUUCCUGUAAAUCAGUGGAGCCUUUUCCCAGGAACUCCUUACAAUCAUAUUAUUUCUGUUCUAAAUGAUAUGAUGUCUCAUAAUAAAAUCGCAGGCGUGCCGUUGACUUUAUUUGUUAUUUAAAAAAAAUGAUGCACGGUGUACGAUAUUAAUGAUAUCGAGACCAAAAAUGUAAAAGUACUUUGUCAAUUUGUCUGUUGGAUUUUGAAGGCUCACCUUUAAAAAUUUAAAACUUUAAACUCACUUCAAAACAUGAAAUUCCGUUUAUUUCUAAAAAUAAACGGAAUUUCAUGUGAUUUUCACAUAUUAUGUAGUUAAAGAAAGGAUAGAGAUGGAGAUUGGUCUUCUAUUAUAUAAAAUUCGCGUGUUGCGGAUUUUGUUACGAAACUGAACCGAUUUCUAUAAUUUUUUUUGUGCAUAUUGGGUAUCCUGGGCCUGAGAAUCAAUCUUCAUGUAUUUUUCAUACCCCUAAAUGAAAAGGAUGGGACCCCCAAUUUUUUUUUAUUUAUUGAUUUAUUUUUUUAUUUUAUUUUAUUAUGAUUUAGCAUUA